UAAAAACCCUCUCACUUUCACCAUCGGUGUGCAUUUCCAGCAGACAGCUCUCCAACUCCCUCCUUUGAACAUUUAAACAACCAGACUUCUCUUGCUCAAGCAAGGACUUCACAAAUUUCAAUGGGUCCUUAAAAAUUGCCACCAUAGCUUGCUCCUUCUUCUUCCUCCUCAAUCUAAGCUUUUCCGCUCUCCUCAACACUACCAAUCUACGUUUCAAUUCUUCCUGCAAAAUAUUAAUGCCACUUCUACCUUCCUCAUCUGCUCGUUUCCAAAGCUUUUUUAAGUCUCUUCUUUCCUGAAUCAACCUCUCAAUUUCCAUCUGCCGUCUUGACCUUAACAUGCUCUGCUCACCCUUACGCUUCUUCUCGAACACCUCAAACCUCUUCUUCCCAUAGUCGUAUAUAAUCUCACCCAGUUGGUUUAUCUUAGACUCAGCCGUACCCUUCAGGCCAUUUAAAAUCCCUCUCAAGUCAUUGUUUUUAGAGGUCCACUCCUUACAGUCAGUGGCGCCUGGCCAUCUCACCUUAGGUUUUUGUUCUCAUCUUGGUAUCAUCUGCCCCGCAUCCUCUCCAUGAUCGAUGCUGCCUUGUGCAUCCAUCUUUGGUCUUGUCUCCUCUAAGACAGAGGUAUUGAUGUCCUGUGGUGUUUGGUGUGCAACCUGCCCCUGGACUUCACCUGACUUAUCUGGACCACUCCGUAGGUCGUGGCGAUCAAUGCGGGGCCCCUGCCUCGUCCCCCUAAACACUUCUUCUUGCCUUGAUGAAUUCUUAGGCCUCUCACUGAUCGCCACGACCUACGGAGUGGUCCAGAUAAGUCAGGUGAAGUCCAGGGGCAGGUUGCACACCAAAGACCACAGGACAUCAAUACCUCUGUCUUAGAGGAGACAAGACCAAAGAUGGAUGCACAAGGCAGCAUCGAUCAUGGAGAGGAUGCGGGGCAGAUGAUACCAAGAUGAGAACAAAAACCUAAGGUGAGAUGGCCAGGCGCCACUGACUGUAAGGAGUGGACCUCUAAAAACAAUGACUUGAGAGGGAUUUUAAAUGGCCUGAAGGGUACGGCUGAGUCUAAGAUAAACCAACUGGGUGAGAUUAUAUACGACUAUGGGAAGAAGAGGUUUGAGGUGUUCGAGAAGA
rnacentral:lncRNA from 1 species